GACGAACGCUGGCGGCGGGCUUAACACAUGCGAGUCGAACGGAAAGGCCCUGCUUUUGUGGGGUGCUCGAGUGGCGAACGGGUGAGUAACACGUGAGUAACCUGCCCUUGACUGUGGGAUAACUUCAGGAAACUGCGGCUAAUACCGGAUAGGAGCUCCUGCUGCAUGGUGGGGGUUGGAAAGUUUCGGCGGUUGGGGAUGGACUCGCGGCUUAUCAGCUUGUUGGUGGGGUAGUGGCUUACCAAGGCUUUGACGGGUAGCCGGCCUGGGAGGGUGACCGGCGACAUUGGGACUGAGAUACGGCCCAGACUCCUACGGGAGGCAGCAGUGGGGAAUAUUGCACAGUGGGCGGAAGCCUGAUGCAGCAACGCCGCGUGCGGGAUGACGGCCUUCGGGUUGUAAACCGCUUUCGCCUGUGACGAAGCGUGAGUGACGGUAAUGGGUAAAGAAGCACCGGCUAACUACGUG
rnacentral:rRNA from 1 species